rnacentral:pre_miRNA from 1 species
AAACUGCCCUCUAAGUUUUGCAACUGUAGCAGUUUUGGCCCCCCAAGGCCAAUUUUUGGAAGAAAAAAAAAAAAACAUGUGGCAUCUCACUUAGGGUCCCACGUCAGCGUAGAUCAAGUCAAAAUUGGCCUUGGGGGCCAAAACUGCCACAGAUGCAAAACUUAGGGGGCGGUUU